GUACUUUAAAACAUGUGUAAUCAGUAAGCAUCUGAUGGCUCGUAUCAUGGUUCAUAAUGGAAGCCUCCUUAGAAUGAAAAGAUUCUGUAAAGUUCAUGAAACCUUGCAGUAUGCAUCCGUACCUAUCUGCAAACUAGAUGAGUAUUUUCCAUCACGAAAGAAAAUAGCCAAUUAAAAUACAUGUUUGUAAAGGAAAUUGUUCUUAAAUUGAAUCCCCUAGUUUCUUUACUUGGACAUGGCAAAAUAAUCGUUUAUCUUCUUAUUUAUUUUGAUUUAUAGACAUUUGACUCUCAUGUCUCGUGUGAAACAUGAAAUGGAGAUUAAAGAAAAUAUAGUAUUUUUUCACUUUAUGCCCCUUCCAAGUGCCAAGCUUCUACAGAGUAAUCCAUAUUCCUGUAAUAGAAGACAAAAAGAACUAAUGUUUAAUUUGAAAAGCAUUCUAUAUGUACAGAAAAGGGGCUUGUAGAAGUACAACAGAAUAGACACAAUAGAUGGGGUGGGUGGUUCUUAUGGACAAUACUUUAAUCACAUGGGCCCACCCCCAUGUGAGUGUUCGUAGCAAUUUUGUGAAGCCCAUUUUCUGUCCAAAUGGUUUAAACCUUAAUUUGAGGACUCAAACUUCUUAUUAUUGUUUCAAGAAUUGAGAAUAACUAUUUGUUGAAAGUUUGAGUAAUCUUCGAAAGUUUAUCACAAUAUCAUUCUCAUUUUAUAAAAUAUCAUCUAGUCAACUCUGAGUCAUCUCCAUACGAUAGGAAACAGAGUCGGUCCUGUGAUUCUCGAGGCCUGAGACGAAGUCUGGAAAUUAGGCUCCCCGACGAAAUCAACGUAAAUGCAAAUUUCAACAAUGUAUUAUGCGACCUAUUACUAACUUGAAAAACUAACAUUAAAACAACAACCAAAUGUAUUAUAGAAAAUUAUCCAAUGAUAAAGUAUCAUGUAGCAUUAUGUAAAUCAUUAUGUAGACCUUGAUGUACAUGUAACAUGCUCCAAAGCAAUAAGUACAAAGCAGAUUCCUACUAAAAAAAUUUGCCACUUGCCACAACAUACCCCCACAACCACAUCGACCCAAACCCAUCAACCUUCCUUUAAUCACACAGUUAACAGCACUGCUGUAGCCACAAAACUACCAACCAGAAUCGAAAACUUCCCUCACAAUGUCUUUACAAGAUUGAAAUCAGAAGUUUAAACAAAAUGUAAAAUGGAUCUAUCUCAAUAAAUAUGAAUUAAACUAACGCAUGCCAAUUGAAUAUCAUCAAAAAAUGGACAUCAGAGAUUAUUUUCCCUUUCCCUUUCCCUUUUCUUCAGUAACCAAGAACACAAAUAUAACAAAUCAUAAUACAGAACAGAGAAUUGAAAUUCUUCACAGAAACAAAUUUGUGAAAACUUCAAAUAAAGGUAGCACAAAAAGGCCCAUCUUACAGAUAUUGUUACUUGCUCUUCAACCAGCUAGGUGGCUCGUAGACUUAUUGAACAUCGUGUGCCACACGUAUGCCCGGGGCAACACCAUUUCAUUCCAAUUGUGCAAAAUGCCGAACCUGAUUGAUGGUGAAUCCAACCAAGCCUAUCCAGGAUCAUUAAAAUCACAGGUUGUGUGCUUUAACAUCCUCCUCUACUUUCCACCACAUACAUCUUAAAUCACUCGGGAAAAUCCUAUCAAAUGCAACAAAUAUCAAUGCAGGAAUUCCAAUAAUUUUCGGACAAAAGCAAUAAAUAGUACUCCCAAACUUUACCCUCCACUUUCAAUUUCAUUGCAUGGAUUGCAAAAACUUAGAGAAUGCCCAUUAAAAAGUAUUUAUUAUUUACUUUGAUCAACAUGUCUCACCACGCUAAAAACGGGGACAUCAACUGCGGUGGUGGAUGGCUUUCGAAAGUGGAGGCUGGUCGUUGUGAGGGCUGUGGCCAAGGGUGGCAGAAGAGUGGUGGUGAGGAAGAGAGACAGGAGGCCAAGCAAUGGAACAGAAGAAAAGCUCCAGAAGAAGGCUAUCCCGGCUCAAUGAAAUUGUUAAUAAUGAGAAAAAUAAGGGAAAAAACCUGAAGCAACUGUUGGAGGUGGAUGAGAGGUUGAAAAUUACUGGACAGAGAUUAGGGAAAUUGUGGGGAAGAGAAAAAACCUCGGACCAUUUCCUUAUUAAAGAAUAGAACAGAACAUCAUGCAUUAAUAUAAAUAUUCUUAAAUGAGUACAGUAUAUUCACAAAUAGAAAAUUACAAAUGUUAAGGAAGUUUUGUACAUUUCAUGAUUAAUAGGAAAAUCAAAACGUCUUUUUUGUGACUGAGAAAUUUUGUCUUCCCUGGAUUUAUGACUUGACUCUUUCUCAAUGAAUUGUCUCCCAUUUUUCAUGAGUAUUUACUAUUUACUUUGUUCAAAGUAAUUUAGCCCCUGUUUGAUGUCCAUUUUUCAACAGGAUUUACUAUUUACUCUUUCUUCAUAUUUACAUAACUGAACGUUGUUCAAAUUUGCCGAAUUGGACAAUAUACUUCAUAAAAAUGCUUCCACAAUUUAUACAAAAGCCAUAUGAUGUUUACAUCAUGUCUUUAAAUGUAAAUGUAAAUUUCAAUUUUGACAUUUUGUCAAACACCUUGAUGGUAUCAUAGAAAAUCAAAGGGAAAGAGCACCAUUUAAUGCUAGAGCUAAUCUAAAAUUUAAUGAUAAUUUUUUUAAUGUAAACCAAAAAACUACUAAAAUUCAAAGUUCAACUUCAAAAAUAAAGUGUAUUCAAAAUUACCUUCAAAUUCACGAGUGUAAUUCUUCAAGUUUGAAUUUCCUUCUAUACUCCUAGAAUUUCUCUUUGAUGACUUUGAUUCAUGAUAUUCAUUUACCUACUUUGACCAUUGAUAAAAUCGACCAAAUAUCGAUAAAGAUUUGCCAAAUUCAAGCUUUUACAGAGCAACAAAAGAUUUUCACUCAAAAUUUGCCCCAAAAUCACCCAAUCGUCCCAAGGGAAACUCUCGUUAAAACUACAAAGAUGCAACAAUAUUAAAUUGGUGGGUAAGGUUUUCUCUAUACAUGAAUACUGGAGUCCAAGUCGGAGUCGGGAGUGAAGGUUUCUCGAGAGUUUACUGAUGCAAGGAUUCCCCCUUCUAAUUUGGGUUUUUGUUGUGGGUGUCAAUGUUUUGAAUGUAAUUAAUACAAUAAUAGUAUUUUAAGUCAGUUUUAAGGUAUUAAUCAAAUACUUAAUUUUUUUAGGGUAUUGUACCUAAUUAUCCCAAAAUUAAAAAAGAGGCCCCUUAGAUUUUGGGCCAUUGUUCAAAGAAAAAAAAUUUGGGCCAGCAAUAUGAGGCCCCUUUAGAUUUUGGGCCUGAGGCGUAGGCCUCAUCUGCCUCUAGGCAGGACCGGGCCCGAUAGGAAAGCUAAAUUUGCAGAAAAAAUUCGAAUCAGUCUAUUUAUUAACUCUAGAAGCAAGUCCAUUGUUCUAGUCUAAGUAUGUCGAGUAAUUCUAUCAUAAACAUCAUGAGAAGAUGAGUAGUGAAAACAGAGAAGGCAUACCAAGAUUCCAUUUGUUGAAAUUCUUUUGUUAAGGAUCUCUUCAAGUAUUCAGAAUCUGAGAAUCCCCCUAAAUGAGCCAAUUCUCGAAUUCUCUGUUGUGUUUUCCAAAGUGCGAAAAGAAGGAAUAUUACAAUCAAGACAGAUACCAAUGAAGCUAAAGUGCCAAAUAAGAUAGCCACCUGCCAAAAAUAUAAUUAAAAAUUGGGUAGCCUGAUGUGCCAUGGGAAAACUCAUGGGCUCUAUGAUUCGUAGUUUGUUCAAG
rnacentral:lncRNA from 1 species